AACUGUUAGAUUUAAAUAAGGUUAUGAUACAGUUUUCAUUAUAUAAUAUUAUGGUACGAUCUACCUGAUGUGAUGAUGGAGAUAGGAGUUGGUCAUAGGAACUCUAUGAUGAAACAACGUAACCUAAUUGUGUUUGGACAUUUUUAGAAUGAACUUGAUGAAUAUUAUUUGCCAGUGGUAAAAUAAGUCAGCGAUAAAAGCUUGUAGCAAAAAUGUUUUAUUUACCAAAAACUUAUUCGAGCUCUAGUCAGUUCUAUAAUUAUAGGUCGUGUCCAUGAUGACGCGCAGAUUUAUGAAAUCUAACCCUUAAUAACAUGACAAUACGAAUCAAGGCACGCGCCUUCGUGAAUGACACGAUCUAUAUUCUUGUUCGUUGUCUUACAGGGUGAUUUUCGCGUUGGGAUGCAUACUAGCCCAUGUCUGCGUGACUGAUAACCAUGCUAUAGAAAACCCAGAUAUUGUGGAAGAGUCAUACAACUCAGGCUACAUCAUGGCAUAUAGAGUUGUGGAAACCCUGCAGACAAGUUUCAUCAUGUCGGGUCUUCUCCUUUCCUAUAAGGUACUGACCUCAGAAGAACAAGUGUCAUGGAGGAACCUGCACAAAGCUGUAAUAUGGAGAUAUCUCAGAUUCACGCCAACAUAUGCUCUGCAGCUUUUUUUUAUCGCUACUUGGAUGAGAUACUUAGGAAAUGGACCUUUCUGGAACGCAACAAUGGGCUUGGAAGUUGAUGAUUGCCGGCGAGACUGGUGGCUCCAUAUCUUAUACAUUCACAACUACGUCGACAGCUCUCAAUGCAUGCUACAUUCGUGGUGAGAAAUUGCACAUACUUCUUGUUGACGCAAGGCUCGGAAACCGGUUAAAUUUGCCUUUUUAAACCGAUUUUUAGAAUCAAGAAUCAUUUAUUUGUCAUGAUCACCAAUAAUUUAUAUUUAGGGGGCCAUUUCUAUAAAGUUCUUAUCAGAUGAAUCUGUUUAAAACAACGAAAACCGGUUUAUUCCUACGCACCAGCUAUGCUCGGUGUUUAUGUUUACGGGGCAUACCGCCGGCCGGCCGGACCUCUAUUGUCAAAUAAACCGGUUUAUUUAGGUUAUAAUAAAGCUCUUAAAACGUUCGCGUUCUUAUGAAAGUUCGGGGUAAAACCGAAAUAAGCUGGUAUUUACCGUUAUUUUUUAAACCGGUUCUGAGCUUUGAUCUGACAAUUUUUAAUAACGGUAUUC